rnacentral:rRNA from 1 species
AACAAACGCUGGCGGCGUGCCUAAUACAUGCAAGUCGAACGGGGAAAGCUUUCGGGUGAGCACUAGUGGCGCACGGGUGAGUAACGCGUGGAUAAUCUGCCUUCAAGUGGGGAAUAACUAAUCGAAAGGUUAGCUAAUACCGCAUAAGACCACAGAAUCUGAGGAUUCAGGGGUAAAAGUUUUUCGCUUGAAGAUGAGUCCGCGUGAGAUUAGCUAGUUGGUGAGGUAACGGCUCACCAAGGCGAUGAUCUCUAGCUGGUCUGAGAGGAUGAUCAGCCACACUGGAACUGAGACACGGUCCAGACUCCUACGGGAGGCAGCAGUAGGGAAUAUUGCACAAUGGAGGAAACUCUGAUGCAGCGACGCCGCGUGAGCGAUGAAGGCCUUCGGGUCGUAAAGCUCUGUCGUAUGGGAAUAAGCUCUGAAUGUACCAUGCAAGAAAGGAUCGGCUAACUUCGUGCCAGCCGCCGCCGUAAUAC